CAAAAGAGUACAAGCGUUCCGGCUUUGUGCAUCCCCAUAGCCACCUGGUCCGGUGGGAGAGCGGCAUGGUAUCCUUAGCAUGUGACUACCUUUUCUCCUUAAGAAUCUUUGGAAUUUUCUCUUUGGGUCACAGAGAGAGCCUGGGUGGAUCCUUGGAGCAGAUGUUGCAGUGGUCAUCUGUUUCUUGUGUAAGUGCCUUCUCCCCAAGUAAAAUUAUAUUAAGCUAUAUUGAGCCUAGUCUUGUAAAUCUUGAUCCAUACAUCCAUAGUCUUUCAUUUAUUUCAACCAUAUAAAAUAUAUAUGGUUUCUAAAUCAAACACUACAAGUAGCAGUGAUAAUUAAAUACAAGGAGUCAGCCUCCUGGGAAGCAUAGUUGGGAAGGAAAACCCCUACUGAGGUUAUCGUGCACUGUUUGGGAGAAUUAGGUAUAAACAAAGAGUGAUAAAUGGAUGCAAAUGAGAUUAAUGUAGUCUUAACUACUACUUUAAUGUUUCCCCAAGAUGUAGAGUUUAUUUUUUGAUUGUUUUAAAUUGAUCUCAGUAUCCAUUUUUUGUUUGUUUUUGGAGACAGGAUUUCUCUGUGUAACUUUGGAGCCUGUCCU
rnacentral:lncRNA from 1 species